rnacentral:rRNA from 1 species
UUUAAUGGCCGCGGUACCCUAACCGUGCAAAGGUAGCGUAAUCACUUGUCCACUAAUUAUGGACUAGUAUGAAUGGCACCACGAGAGCUAACCUGUCUCCCUUUUUUAAUCAGUAAAACUGAUCUCCUCGUGAAGAAGCGAGGAUAAAAAUAUAAGACGAGAAGACCCCAUGGAGCUUCAAACUAAGAGUUAACUAAUUAAACUACACCAUAAAAUAUAAAGCUAUUUCUCAAAGUUUUCGGUUGGGGCGACCACGGAGUACAACAAAACCUCCAUGAUGAAUGAAUAUAAAAUUCUUAUUCUAGAACCACAACACAAAGAACCACAAACGUGACAUACAUUGACCCAAACAUUUGAUCAACGAACCUAGUUACCCUGGGGAUAACAGCGCAAUCCAUUUCAAGAGCCCCUAUCGACAAAUGGGUUUACGACCUCGA